rnacentral:rRNA from 1 species
UAUCAUUAACUGAAUCCAUAGGUUAAUGAGGCGAACCGGGGGAACUGAAACAUCUAAGUACCCCGAGGAAAAGAAAUCAACCGAGAUUCCCCCAGUAGCGGCGAGCGAACGGGGAGGAGCCCAGAGCCUGAAUCAGCAUGUGUGUUAGUGGAAGCGUCUGGAAAGGCGCGCGAUACAGGGUGACAGCCCCGUACACAAAAGCGCAUGUGCUGUGAGCUCGAUGAGUAGGGCGGGACACGUGGUAUCCUGUCUGAAUAUGGGGGGACCAUCCUCCAAGGCUAAAUACUCCUGACUGACCGAUAGUGAACCAGUACCGUGAGGGAAAGGCGAAAAGAACCCCGGCGAGGGGAGUGAAAAAGAACCUGAAACCGUGUACGUACAAGCAGUGGGAGCACCCUUUGGGUGUGACUGCGUACCUUUUGUAUAAUGGGUCAGCGACUUAUAUUCUGUAGCAAGGUUAACCGAAUAGGGGAGCCGGAGGGAAACCGAGUCUUAAC